rnacentral:rRNA from 1 species
CAAACGACUCUCGGCAACGGAUAUCUCGGCUCACGCAUCGAUGAAGAACGUAGCAAAAUGCGAUACUUGGUGUGAAUUGCAGAAUCCCGUGAACCAUCGAGUUUUUGAACGCAAGUUGCGCCCAAAGCCUUUCGGYCGAGGGCACGUCUGCCUGGGCGUCACAC